rnacentral:rRNA from 1 species
GAACGCUUGCUGCAUGCUUUAUACAUGCAAGUCGAACGGAGGCCCUAGCUUGCUAGGUGUCCUUAGUGGCGCACGGGUGAGUAACACGUGGGAACAUACCUUAUAGUACGGAAUAACUGCGGGAAACUGUAGCUAAUACCGUAUACUCCAGUAAUGGGAAAGAUUUAUCGCUAUAAGAUUGGCCCGCGCAAGAUUAGUUUGUUGGUGAGGUAAAAGCUCACCAAGGCUUCGAUCUUUAGCUGGUUUGAGAGGACGAUCAGCCACACUGGGACUGAGACACGGCCCAGACUCCUACGGGAGGCAGCAGUAGGGAAUAUUGGACAAUGGGGGCAACCCUGAUCCAGCAAUGCAGCGUGAGUGACGAAGGCCUUAGGGUUGUAAAACUCUUUCAUCGGUGAGGAUAAUGACAGUAGCCGAAGAAGAAGGACCGGC